CCUACGGGCGGCAGCAGUGAGAAAUAUUGGUCAAUGGGCGGGAGCCUGAACCAGCCAAGCCGCGUGAGGGAAGAAGGUACAGCGUAUCGUAAACCUCUUUUGUCAGGGAGCAAAGGCGGGGACGUGUCCCCGGAUGAGUGUACCUGAAGAAAAAGCAUCGGUAAACUCCGUGCCAGCAGCCGCGGUAAUACGGAGGAUGCGAGCGUUAUCCGGAUUUAUUGGGUUUAAAGGGUGCGCAGGCGGUCUGUUAAGUCAGCGGUCAAAGCCCGGGGCUCAACCCCGGCCCGCCGUUGAAACUGGCAGUCUCGAGUUGGAGAGAAGUAUGCGGAAUGCGCGGUGUAGCGGUGAAAUGCAUAGAUAUCGCGCAGAACUCCGAUUGCGAAGGCAGCAUGCCGGCUCCACACUGACGCUGAGGCACGAAAGCGUGGGUAUCGAACAGGAUUAGAUACCCCUGUAGUC
rnacentral:rRNA from 1 species